GGGUCGUUAGCUCAGUUGGUAGUGCAGUUGGCGUUUAAGCUAUUGGUCGAAGGUUCGAAUCCUUCACGUCCCACCA
rnacentral:tRNA from 1 species